UCCCACGGAAGGGCCGCUGGCCGGCUAAGCCCCGAGGGCGGAAAUGGCUUCUCUGCUGCCGCGGAGGAGGAGACGGGACAAAGGACAGGCCACCCGCCCGCUUUCAGCCUCCUCUCAGUCCCCACCACAGACUCAGCAACGCUAGACUGAUGCACGUGGGAAGUUAGCGUUUUCUAUUAUAGGGCCGCUUCCGAUGAGACUUGUUUAAACCAUAUCGCCUUAAACGGACCAGGUUUCGUCAGAAGACCCCAUGAUCUCCCUCCCUGUUUCUCUCCCUGGACGAAAAACCUCGAGAUCCGAAGGCCUUUAUAUUGCUUAACUUCGGCAGCAUUGUGCCUUGUAUUUGUGGAAAUGUUUGAAAAAUAAAUAUUAAUAAUAAUUGUCCAGAAGAGCUCUCUCAGACACAAUUAUCUGGUUCACAUUCUGCUUCUUCAGUCAGGAUUGGGCAGGGUGUUCCAUUAUUGGCAGGAUGAAGAUGUAUAUAACGAGUUCUUCUUUUUGCUCCUAAAUGUCCACACGUGCCUUUACAAAGGCCCCAAGAUGACCAGAGCGAUGUCUCGCAGUCCAGGGGAGUUUCUGCAGUACAGAGGCAUGUGAAAGAAAUAUGCAUUGCUUUUAUUUUUUAAUGCAACUGCAUAGUUUAGAUUUAUUUUGAUACAGACACUUGUUUUAACAAUUCCAUGACAUAAAUAAUCUAGACCAAAAUAUAUCGAUUGUCCUUUAAAUGAGGGAACAAGAUAAUUCCCUGUGGAUGUAGUAGGCAGGUCAAAGGAAUAAAUUCUGUCUUCAUCUUU